rnacentral:rRNA from 1 species
AACGAACGCUGGCGGCGUGUUUAAGACAUGCAAGUCGCACGGGGCGGAUUGGGUAGCAAUAUUCGAUUCGUUCAGUGGCGCACGGGUGAGUAACACGUGAAUCACAUGCCCUUGAGUGGGGGAUAGCCCAGGGAAACUUGGAUUAAUACCCCAUGGUCUCGCAAGAGUAAAGGCGGCCUUUAAGGCAGUCGCUCAAGGAUUGGUUCGCGCCCUAUCAGCUUGUUGGCGGGGUAACGCCCACCAAGGCUACGACGGGUACCUGGUCUGAGAGGACGAUCAGGCACACUGGAACUGAGACACGGUCCAGACACCUACGGGUGGCAG